rnacentral:lncRNA from 1 species
AAGUAGUGUUUGGUUGCUGUUUCCGUAUGAGUUUAUAUAUUAUUGUACGUUAGUGUUCAGAAAUAUAUUUAAUUUUGCAUAGACUGCUGACUGAAUAAUGUAAUUGUUGUUUGAAUAAAUGGUUGAGGGGCUGUGUUUUGUUAGUAUGUGCCAUAUAUUUGGACAACUGUUGAAACACAAGAACUUAUUUGAUCUGUUGGUAUUGUUUGGAUUGGCUCGGAUUCAUUUUUAUCUAAUUGAUAAUUGUUUCUUUGUAAAAUGUUUAUGGAGUGAUUUUUUUUAUUUUUUGUUCAUACUUCAUUUUGCACUCUGUUAUUGGAGUAAAUUAUGGAGUAGAGAUGGAGAUGGUCUUAG